GACGAACGCUGGCGGCGUGACUAAUACAUGCAAGUAGGACGCAGUUGCGAACGGGUGAGUAACGCGUAGGUAACUACCUAUUAGAGGGGUAUAACUCUUGGAAACGCUAGCUCAUACCGCAUACUAAUAGAUGGACCUGCGUUGUAUUAGCUAAUAGGUAGGGUAAUGGCCUACCUAUGCAAAGAUACAUUGCCAACCGGAGCGGGUGAGCGGCCACACUUGGACUGAGACACGGCACAGACUCCUACGUGAGGCAGCAGUAGGGAUUCUUCGGAAAUGGGGGGAAACUUGACCGAGCAACGCCGCGUGAGUGAAGAAGGUUUUCGGAUCGUAAAGCUCUGUUGUUAAGGAAGCGGUACUUAACCAGAAAGGGACGGCUAACUACGUGCCAGCAGCCGCGGUAAUAC
rnacentral:rRNA from 1 species